rnacentral:rRNA from 1 species
UACGUAGGGUGCGAGCGUUAAUCGGAAUUACUGGGCGUACAGCGUGCGCAGGCGGUUUGCUAAGACCGAUGUGAAAUCCCCGGGCUUAACCUGGGAACUGCAUUGGUGACUGGCAGGCUAGAGUAUGGCAGAGGGGGGUAGAAUUCCACGUGUAGCAGUGAAAUGCGUAGAGAUGUGGAGGAAUACCGAUGGCGAAGGCAGCCCCCUGGGCCAAUACUGACGCUCAUGCACGAAAGCCAGGGGAGCAAACGGG